GGUAGACGAUCGGCUGGAUCUUCGGAUCUCCCCGAUAUGAACCUUCCCGUGCUUUUUAGAACAUAGAUGGCACCAGUCAGGUGACUAUCGAAACGUAAUACGCCGCGUAGACUUCGGUCACGACGGUAUGGCGAGCUUUCGCCGUCCACGUUUCUCUUUCUUCAAGAAGACAAAAAACCGCGUCGACCGGUUCCCCGAAUGGGCCCGUAGCUCAGUUGGUUAGAGCACACGCUUGAUAAGCGUGGGGUCGGAAGUUCAAGUCUUCCCGGGCCCACCAUUUGCACCGGCAAAUGAAAUUUGCUGUAGCGAAUGAGGGUUGAGGGAUGAUGGAAUGUUGGUGAUGCGGGUUGUUGCCGAACCUUGGGGCUUGUCCUUGGGGUGAUCGAGCUGGAGGGGCUGUAGCUCAGCUGGGAGAGCACCUGCUUUGCAAGCAGGGGGUCAGCGGUUCGAUCCCGCUCAGCUCCACCAAAUCGAUUGGUGUUGAAGCUGACGGCAUUUGUCUUUUGAAGAAAUAAAAGUUUUGCAUCGGCUUAGGCUGGUGCGUGUUCUGCAUACAUUGUGAAGAGAAGAUUGAUCUGGAGGCUUCCAGGUGUUUUGGGUUCUGCCCAAGGCGUCCGAGCCCGAUCCUUAUGAUAUCGUCGAUGGCCUAGCCGGCCGGACGCGAUGGAGGGGUCGGAGGUAGGAAGGAAGCUUGUCGCUCUGGGCCGUUGUUGUUUGUUUAUCCUUAGGGAUGAGCAUCUGACGGACGGCUUGAUUACCGUUGCCUGACCGCGCGGUAUCGGAUCCAAUCUCGAGAAGCUGGUCUUAAGACAGGCUGCAAGUGAGCUGCUCGGCGUAGCUCCAAUAAAGCAGACCUGUCGAACACGUUAAUGGCAUCAUGAAAUGGCCUGGGUUGUAAAAGGUAACCCUGGCCGCCGCAUCCCUUCGGGAUGUCGGCUCAGUGAUGAGCAUUGGCAAUGAGAACGAUUAAGUGUCGUAAGGGCAUUUGGUGGAUGCCUUGGCAUGCACAGGCGAUGAAGGACGUGAUACGCUGCGAAAAGCCGUGGGAGCUGCGAA
rnacentral:misc_RNA from 1 species